AUACGUAGGUGGCAAGCGUUGUCCGGAAUUAUUGGGCGUAAAGCGCAUGUAGGCGGUAAUUUAAGUCUGUCGUGAAACUGCGGGGCUCAGCCCCGUAUGGCGAUGGAAACUGGGUUACUUGAGUGCAGGAGAGGAAAGGGGAACUCCCAGUGUAGCGGUGAAAUGCGUAGAUAUUGGGAAGAACACCGGUGGCGAAGGCGCCUUUCUGGACGGUGUCUGACGCUGAGAUGCGAAAGCCAGGGUAGCGAACGGGAUUAGAUACCCCGGUAGUCCUGGCCGUAAACGAUGGGUACUAGGUGUGGGAGGUAUCGACCCCUUCCGUGCCGGAGUUAACGCAAUAAGUGCCCCGCCUGGGGAGUACGGUCGCAAGGCUUAAACUCAAAGGAAUUGACGGGG
rnacentral:rRNA from 1 species